CUUCAGCGAGCCGAGCCACAGCGGCUCACCACCCCGGUCCCGCCCGUAGGUGGCGACCAGCGCCCGCGCCUC
rnacentral:antisense_RNA from 1 species